CGAUGACGACUGGUUACCAAAUGAAAUUUUGCCUGAGCGUGAGGCUCUUGAUAGCGAUGAAUCUGGUGUAGAUAAUCAAGAAAUACCAGUUGCUCAAGAAAUUGAUGCACCUUCCGAAGAAGAUGACGAAGAAGAGGGAGAGGAAGGAGAAAGUGAAAGUGAGAGAGAGGAUCAAGCAGCAGUAGGGGAAACACUAUGCGCUUACAUAGCGAAAGAUAAAACGGUAUGGAAUAAAACGCCGCUUCAUCAACAUCAAACUGCAUCUCAUAAUGUAGUGCGUCAGCAAAGUGGUCCUCAGAUCAAGGUACCAGAUCAAGGUACCAAUUUCCUCAGUAAAAUAUUUAAAACGGUAUGCAAAUUACUAAAAAUUGAAAAGAUUCAAACCACCGCGUCAUCAUCCACAAAGCAACGGAGCACUGGAAAGAUCGCAUAGAACACUCUCGGAAUACCUCCGACACUACAUAAAUAACGACCAAACAAACUGGGAUGAAUGGAUCCCAUACGCGAUUUUUACCUAUAAUACAACUCCACACACAACCACGAAAUAUACACCAUUUGAACUGGUAUACGGGUACCAAGCAACCCUACCAUCGUCUAUACUAGCAACACCAAAGAUCACGUAUAGUAUCGAUGAUUACGCGCAAGAAAUAAAACAACGACUCCGAGCAACAAAUCAAGUAGCCCGAGAGCACGUUAAAGAAGAAAAAACAAAGAGCAAAAAAUAUUAUGACCGAACAGCUAAAGGUCCUGUACUUGACGUAGGAGAUCAAGUACUAUUACACGAUGAAAUGGUACGACGAGGUAGAUCGAAAAAGCUAGAUGCGAUGUGGAUAGGACCCUACGAGAUAAUCCAGAAGCACGGAAAUGAAAAUUAUACAAUAAAACGGGGCCGACGAACGCUACGCACGCACGCAAAUCGCAUAAAACUAUACAUAGAAAAUUAAAAACUUACCGACGAGGCGGCACACCCCUACCGCGUCCACGUAAAAUACUGGGCCAGGGGGUAGAGGCCCGUGAGGAUCCAACGAGGGGCAGAGUUUCCACCCCGGAUGCACCGGCGCCCCCGUCUCCGUGACCCUUCGGGGGCCGACGUGUGCUUGUCUCAUACCCGUGGUCAGGCGGGAGGCGGCGUGCCUCCUCGCCGUACAGAAUAACAGGCGGCGAAAAGGGCGCCGUCGGGGCAAUCUCCGCGGGAAAGAAAAAACCCGAGCACGAUGGGCAAUCCCACUGGAGAAAUAAACAAACAAAAUAUAAAAACACCACACCACAAAAAUCAUACACAAAAAAGAAAAAAUCACAAAACACAAAUGACACUACCACUAAGCACGCGGGACAGGACAUGCGAGCGGGCGACAUCCUGAAUAAAACUAACAGAGCUAAAUAAAGCUAAACAAGAGGUUCCCCCCACGCAAAUGAAAAACUUAGAAAUAAAGAAAGAAGGAGGCAUUUUUAUCCCACACGAAAUACGAUCAGAACAGGAAAAGGGGAUCAUAUUUAUCUAAACACCCGACCCAAUGUACUUACAGGGCAUUCAGCCUGAUAAGGAGUAUCAGCCUCGGGACAAAUGGGUUGCAAGCAGAAACCCCAUUCGAAAUCAACGAAUUCAUACACACACCUGGUGUGUAUUAUGACACACAAGGACAAUUACACCAAAUAGUUUCAACAUGGAAAACCGUCAUCAAAAUGGAUAUACAUUCAAUAGAUGUUAGACGAAAUCAGAUACAAGGAUACCUCGACAGCGC